UGGGACAACUUCGGGAAACCGGAGCUAAUACGGAUAAGAUAUCGAACCGCAUGGUUCGAUAGUGAAAGAUGGUUUUGCUAUCACUUAUAGAUGGACCCGCGCCGUAUUAGCUAGUUGGUGAGGUAACGGCUCACCAAGGCAACGAUACGUAGCCGACCUGAGAGGGUGAUCGGCCACACUGGAACUGAGACACGGUCCAGACUCCUACGGGAGGCAGCAGGC
rnacentral:rRNA from 1 species